rnacentral:rRNA from 1 species
GUGCCAGCAGCCGCGGUAAUACGAAGGGGGCUAGCGUUGUUCGGAUUUACUGGGCGUAAAGCGCACGUAGGCGGAUCUUUAAGUCAGGGGUGAAAUGCCGAGGCUCAACUUCGGAACUGCCUUUGAUACUGGAGAUCUUGAGUUCGGGAGAGGUGAGUGGAACUGCGAGUGUAGAGGUGAAAUUCGUAGAUAUUCGCAAGAACACCAGUGGCGAAGGCGGCUCACUGGCCCGAUACUGACGCUGAGGUGCGAAAGCGUGGGGAGCAAACAGGAUUAGAUACCCUCGUAGUCC